CUUGGGGCUGAAGUUCGGCUCCCGUAGGAGCUCAGACGAAGUCUACCUGCAGUCGGAGUUCGGAGAAGAAGUCCAGCUCCCGUAGGAGCUCGGACGAAGUCUACCUGCAGUCGGGAUUCGGGGAAGAAAUCCGGCUCCCGUAGGAGCUCGGACAAAGUCUACCUGCAGUCGGGGUUCGGGGAAGAAGUCCGGCUCCCGUAGGAGCUCGGACGAAGUCUAGAAGGUGGUCGACCACCGUAGAAACUUGGAUGGAGUCCGUCCGUCGUGGAGAAUCCGGUUGACACUGGUGGGGGNNNNNNNNNNNNNNNNNNNNUUUAUCCGUCGGCAGGACUUGGGAACGUUGCGGAGGCUCGACCGUCGGAGAGAUUCGGGAAGAUGUCGCCGAAGGUCGGACGUCGGUAGAAUCCCGGGAGGGUCACUCCUGACACGAACUUCGGCUGGGGGGUAUUUUAUACCCAACACCAGUCCCCCUACUUCCAAGUUCGACUUUCGAAUGAAG
rnacentral:lncRNA from 1 species